rnacentral:rRNA from 1 species
UCCACGCCGUAAACGAUGAGUACUAAGUGUUGGAGAAAUUCAGUGCUGUAGUUAACGCAAUAAGUACUCCGCCUGAGUAGUACGUGCGCAAGCAUGAAACUCAAAGGAAUUGACGGGACCCCGCACAAGCGGUGGAUCAUGUUGUUUAAUUCGAUGAUACGCGAAGAACCUUACCAGGUCUUGACAUCCCAUGCAAAGCUAUAGAGAUAUAGUGGAGGUUAUCAUGGAGACAGGUGGUGCAUGGUUGUCGUCAGCUCGUGUCGUGAGAUGUUGGGUUAAGUCCCGCAACGAGCGCAACCCUUAUUGCUAGUUACCAUCAUUAAGUUGGGGACUCUAGCGAGACUGCCAGUGAUAAACUGGAGGAAGGUGGGG